GAAGAAGACCGAGCUGCCGUUUUAUGAAGGUUUACAUUUUCAAAAAAGAUGAAUAAAGUAAUAUAAAGUUUUUCAUCAAAAAUGUCUCCCAUAUUCCUCCUUUAAGACUGGUGUGAAUUGGAACGAUCAGAAUCAGAAUAAUCUUCAUUGGUCAACCAACAAGCAUUGCUCCAUCCACCAGCAUCAGUGUGCCAAUGGCAUCUGCAUACCUAUUUCCUUCCUAUGCGACCACUGGAAUGACUGUGGGGACAACAGCGAU